rnacentral:sRNA from 1 species
AUGUACCACUCCUGCACACCGGUUCUUCCGCGCCGUCCGCACCCACCUGGCGGCUGCUCGCUACGUAUUGAUAGCC